AACGUAGGAGACGAACGUUAUCCGGAGUUACUGGGCGUAAAGGGCGUGUAGGCGGUUUGUUAAGUCUGGCGUGAAAGCUCUCGGCUAAACCGGGAGAGGUCGUUGGAUACUGGCAAACUCGAGGAUGGUAGAGGCGUGUGGAAUUCCGGGUGUAGUGGUGAAAUGCGUAGAGAUCCGGAGGAACACCAGUGGCGAAGGCGGGUCUCUGGACAGUUCCUGACGCUGAGGCACGAAGGCCAGGGGAGCAAACGGG
rnacentral:rRNA from 1 species